UACGUAGGGUGCGAGCGUUAAUCGGAAUUACUGGGCGUAAAGCGUGCGCAGGCGGCGCGUUAAGACAGGUGUGAAAGCCCCGAGCUUAACUUGGGAAUUGCGCUUGUGACUGGCGUGCUGGAGUGUGGCAGAGGGAGGUGGAAUUCCACGUGUAGCAGUGAAAUGCGUAGAGAUGUGGAGGAACACCGAUGGCGAAGGCAGCCCCCUGGGCUAACACUGACGCUCAGGCACGAAAGCGUGGGGAGCAAACAGG
rnacentral:rRNA from 1 species